rnacentral:rRNA from 1 species
AGUGAACGCUGGCGGUAGGCCUAACACAUGCAAGUCGAACGGCAGCACAGUAAGAGCUUGCUCUUACGGGUGGCGAGUGGCGGACGGGUGAGGAAUACAUCGGAAUAUACUUUUUCGUGGGGGAUAACGUAGGGAAACUUACGCUAAUAACGCAUACGACCUACGGGUGAAAGCAGGGGAUCUUCGGACCUUGCGCGAUUGAAUGAGCCGAUGUCGGAUUAGCUAGUUGGCGGGGUAAAGGCCCACCACGGCUACGAUCCGUAGCUGGUCUGAGAGGAUGGAUACCCAGCUUGUAACAGAGGAACAGUACACACUCCUGGAGGGGGACACGGUGGGGAAUAUUGGACGAUGGACGAAUGGCAGAUCCUGCCCUACCGGCGGGGUGAAGAAGGACUUCUGGUUGUAAAGCCCUUUUGUUGGGAAAGAAGAGCAGCAGGUUAAUACCCCGUUAUUCUGACGGUACCCAGAGAAUAAGCACCGGCUAACUUCGUG